rnacentral:rRNA from 1 species
ACUCAAAUGAAUUGACGGGGGCCCGCACAAGCGGUGGAGCAUGUGGUUUAAUUCGAUGCAACGCGAAGAACCUUACCCAGGCUUGACAUGCGUCGGACCGGUGUGGAAACACACCUUCCCUUCGGGGCCGGCGCACAGGUGCUGCAUGGCUGUCGUCAGCUCGUGUCGUGAGAUGUUGGGUUAAGUCCCGCAACGAGCGCAACCCUUGUCCUUAGUUGCCAGCAAGUUACGUUGGGCACUCUAAGGAGACUGCCGUCGAUAAGGCGGAGGAAGGUGGGGAUGACGUCAAGUCCUCAUGGUCCUUACGCCUGGGGCUACACACGUGCUACAAUGGCCAGACCAAAGGGUUGCAAUGCCGCGAGGUGGAGCCAAUCCCACAAAACUGGCCUCAGUUCAGAUUGCAGUCUGCAACUCGACUGCAUGAAGGCGGAAUCGCUAGUAAUCGCUGAUCAGCAGGCAGCGGUGAAUAUGUUCCCGGGCCUUGUACACACCGCCCGU